AGGAAGAAUAUUUCAAAAAGGAGGGGAUUUUAUUAGUGGGGAUCAAGUAAAAUAAGAUUGCACAGCAAAGUUAAAUAAACAUUUACCAGGGAAAACUAGAUGCCAUGAGUGUUCUCGAAACUGGAGAUUUGGGAGGAUCUCAGGACAUGUGUUAGGCAAAUAAUAGAAGUUUACUGUUAGCUUGUAGAGCAUAAAAGUUGUGUUAAAUCACUUUUCAACCUAGCUGGGUAAUUAGUAUCCUGGGGGUAGGGCUUGGGGCAAAGUCAGGACUCCUUAUCUAUUUAAAAUCUUCUACUGGACAACUCACACAGAACACCAAGUUCUUAGCAAUAAUUAGGGAAGGGAGAGAAUUCAGGGAGCAUUAUUUGCAAAACCGAGAACUGUGGAGGCAGGGCAGGGUACAUUGUCUUUAUGAACACAGCAGAGUUACUAGGCAUUUAUUUUCAUCUUCAUUUAACAGACUUAAAAAAAAGCCUUAAUUUUUAUUUUGGAGAAUAGUUGAUUAGCAAUGUUGUGUUUCAGGUGUAGAGCAAAGCAAGUCAGUUAUACACAUGCAUGUAUCUGUUCUUUUCCACAUUCUUUUCCCAUUUAGAUGUUACACAGUAUUGAGCAGUGCUAUAUGGUAGGUUCCCUGUGCUAUAUAGUAGGUUCUUAUUGGUUGUCCAUUUUUAUUUUUUAAAUUAAUUUUAUGGAAGUAUAGUUUCUUUACAGUUAGUUUAACAGACUCUUUGGAGAGCAGAUCCAAUGUGGGGGGUGGGGGCUGGUCUUGAAAAAGCCAAAGGUUGUAGUAGGCUUUAAAAAAGGCUAGAUCUUGCCUUUGAGGGGUGGUCUAGAUCAGGCCCUGAGGUUCUUUUUAAUAGAAAGAGAAGAAAGCUAUCCUCUUCUUAUGUGAUUACUUUCAAGAUUUCCCCUCAGAGCCUUUGAGUCUCUUUGGACUUCUGAAGUCAAUUCAGGGUGAACUGAACAUCCCCUUUAGAGGAUGCAGUAAAAGAACCGAGAAGAACCCUCCUGCUGGAAGAUGAGAAUGACAAGAGAUCGACACUUUAGCUUUGGGGACUGCUAUAUUCAAGAGGACCAGGAUCUAGUCUCUGCUGGAGACUUGUGAAAAAUACAAGGGAACUUGGAAAAGCCACGUGAAGGAGAGAGGAGCAGAAGUGCACUCAGAACUGUGUGAAGCGAGGCCAUGGUGUGAAGGCUCACCUGCCACCAUCCUGAAGCCCUGGUGACUACUCAUCGAGUCUCUGCCACUAUACUUGUGUCUUUUUGAGAAUGUCACAUGAAUGGAACCAUAGCAUGUGUAACUUUUUGAAUUUUGCUUUUCACUCAGCAUAAUGCCUUUCGUAACAGGAUUUUGAUAACACCUUUCUUUGUCUCACAGCUGUAAAG
ensembl:lncRNA